rnacentral:lncRNA from 1 species
GAAUGACUAGCAGUAUUAUUUUAUAUCAGUGACCAACUGAGGCAUCAUUUAACAAAAACUAAAUGCUCUGAAGAUAUUCAGGAAAAAGCUAUUUGUCACUAAAUAAAGAAUGUUGGUAAGCAACCUAUUUGGAAACUUUUAUCUGCCUUGUUUGGCCUUCCUGACACACUUCAUUAUAUUUUGUCAAUUUUAUCAUUAAGUUUGGGUCACAAGUCUAAGGCAAAGGAGCUUCUAUGCUCAAAAUUUGCAUGAUUGCUUCUGUUUAUUUUCUUAUGAAAAAUAAUUUGAGUACCCUUUCUAUAAACUAACCCUUCUAAUUGAGCCAUGAAAUCUUAAAACAAUUUCAAAGGUCAAAGCACAAAAAUUAUCUAGGUUUUGAUCUUAGUAUAAAAUAACAUCAAUAAUUUUAAAACAAGAAUUAUACGCCCUGAGAAUGUACACUGAUUUAACCUAUUAAAUUUGCCAGUAUUGCAAGCCAUUAUUUACCGAAUUGCAUUAUUAGGUAUUCAUAUUCACAUGCUCAAUUAGGAAAAAGUUAGCAAGCCAAGAUUAAGUUCCCUGUAGCAUUAUUUUAAAUUACAGUAGGUGAUCACAUAAAACUCUCUAAUGUUUCUAUUACUUACUCUAUUUCAGAGUGUUAAUCUGAGUCAGUGAUCAUUGGUGUUGGAAAUAUUUGGCUUAAAUGUUUACUUUGUUUAUAAUAUUUUCUUGAGUAAGAUGAAUUUAAUUUGUGAAAAUCUCUACUGAACAAUUUUUAAAAGGAGUAAUUGACAACACUUAACAUUUUCAAGUAUUUUUUAAGCAGGAGAGUCUCUAUAUUGUAAAAAGAAAUCUUAAAUAUUUAAUACUCUUAAUUUUAAAAUGGUAUAUAGGUGGAUUUAUGAGGAAGCAAAUUAUCUUGAAAAGAUUUUAGGUAAGAAAUGCAAAUGCUUUGUAAGUCAAUUUAAUGUGUGUGUGUUUUUUUUUAAUAUGCAAUGAGCCAAUAAAUUAACUUUUAAAGCACAGGUGAA